UCGUCGCUCAUCUCACCGUCGCACUUUUUCAUUGCUUCAAGUUACAAUCUCUCUUUAUUUCCGCGAUACCGAUAUAAUAUGCAGUACAAGACAAAAGAACGAAGAGAUCUUGUGGGCUCUGUCAUGGUGCUAAUUAUCAUUCUACCUUUGAAUCUGUUGAUUUGAGAAGGCAGGAGAUCGGAGCUACUGCUGGAGGGGGUUGUGUGUGCGACCAGUGUUUUGCCAUUCAAAAGCUCGCUUCUUCAACAAAAAGACUUUUCUUGGAUUCUUUCACUGCUUGACCUUCUCUGGAACUUCCCCCCGCGAUUCCUCACGAGAAGUUGUCAUGCCUUUCUACUGCUGGUUUAGAUGUAUGUGCAAUCUAGAUAAUUGGGACUGGCCAAGGAAGGGCACAGCAUUUUUUGAAAUUCCAUGCCUGAUUCUUUGGUUUCUUGGCCAAGAUGCCUUCUAUUUCAUGGUCAAAAUUUAGCUAAGAUGGUGACUUGAUUAUCAGCAGUCAGGAGACUGAAUGGAACCAAAGAGCCUGGUUUUGGUGUUGCCUUCGCAUAAUUGUUGGUGAAGCCAUUCUAUAUCAAGGGGGCAUAUUGCUAGAUGAUGUCUUCAGUAGCUGUAGGUCCUUGGUGGAAAUGAUCACAUGUUUUGACAUGUAUGGUAACUUGCGGCUUUGAGGCAAGAACUGGAGCAUUAUGUUUUCAUACGCCAGUUUUUUCAAGGGGACAAUCACCUCGUGGCACACUUCAACACACUGUAUCGACAGCUUUAGAUGGGGACUUUGGCAGUAGCUGAAAAUCAAGCUGUGCAUGACUCUGAACUCCUGGGCUAGUCAAUUGUAUCAAUGCAUGUUUUUGACUUAGUCCACUUAUUUAUAGCAAACAAUUGUAUGCGGGAUUCACCUCCAGCUUUCAUAAUUUACAAUAUUCAAAUCC